ensembl:lncRNA
GUUACCAAUAUGCUCUUACUAUUUUUUUCUAUUUUGGCCUGUAACACUUCAAACACUUAAUGGCUCAUCUACAGUCGUAGUCAGCACCUAACAAGGCUAGCCAAUGACUUUCCUGCCUUUUUGCUUAACCGGUCGAGGUUACCAAUAUGCUCAUACAAUUUUUUUCUAUUUUGGCCUGUAACACUUCAAACACUUAAUGGCUCAUCUACAGUCUUAGUCAGCACCUAACAAGGCUAGCCAAUGACUUUCCUGCCUUUUUUGCUUAACCGGUCGAGGUUACAUUGGCUCAUACAAUCUUUUUCUCUUUUGGCCUGUAACACUUAAAUCAGUUAAAAAAAAAAGUAUUAAUGCAUGUAUAUUGAUAAACAAAAUCAGUUUAAAAAAAAAAAAAAAGUAUUUAUGCAUGUAUAUUGAUAAACAAAAUCAGUUAAAAAAAAAAAAAAAAGUAUUUAUGCAUGUAUAUUGAUGAACAAAAUCAGUUAAAAAAAAAAAAAGUAUUUAUGCAUGUAUAUUGAUAAACAAAAUCAG